rnacentral:rRNA from 1 species
UACGUAGGGGGGCAAGCGUUUGUCCGGAAUCAUUGGGGCGUAAAGCGCGUGUAGGCGGGUUCGGUAAGUCGGCUGUGAAAGUCCAGGGCUCAACCCCUGGGGAUGCCGGUCGAUACUGCCCGGGCUAGAGUCCCGGAAGAGGGCGAGUGGGAAUUCCCUGGUGGUAGCGGUGAAUGCGCAGAUAUCAGGAGGAACACCGGUGGCGAGGCGGUCUCUGGCCGAUACUGACGCUGAGGAGCGAAGCGUGGAGCAACAGG